CUCCCUAUUUGUCAACAACAAAAAAAGAGGUUAAAUAUUGUGAUCAUGCUAUCAUCAUUAUGUUGCCUAUAAGACCAAAUGUGGGGCAUCUGGUUAUCCCUCCAAAAUAAGGCAAUGACCACACGCGGAUGUUCAACGCGGAUCAUUCGUUUUGUGAUCGAACUUGACUCUUUCCAUCUUCUGGAUUGCUUAGGAAAGCUGAUUGGUGUUACCUGUGUAAUGACCGAGAAGAUGCGGCCUACAUGAACAUCAUUUAGGCGGCCAGAAUCAUUCGACUACCCAACCGGCUUCUACUACCCUGCUCUGAAUACAGCACGGAGUUUUACCCUUCAGAUUUUUGGCUGUUCGCGAUGUGUGAUGGCGUUUCCUUGGACGAGAUGAUGAUUUUGGCGAGAAAAAUAUUGCGUUCUAACCUUCAGGUUCCUAAAUCUGCAUGACAGUCUUAAUGAAAAGUAUUGUUCUUUCAAGAAAGUCAACAAGGUCCUUUGUUUGCUAACCAAAUGGCUGCUACCCUUGAAUCUCCCUAUUUAGGUCCUUACGGCUUACACUGUCCCUCUUGAUUUGAGGUA